ACUGAGAGGAGAAACACUCAAAAACAGAGUUCAACGUAGAAACAAAAACAGAGAGGAACAGAGCCAAAAACUACAGAGCAAACCAAAUAAGAAUCAAGUAAUUCUAAUAACAAAUAUAUUUUCUAAUUUAAGUAAACCUUAUAUGAAUUACGAAAUUGAUAUACUCCCUAGUAUAAAUAUAGACUCGUGAACAAAAACUCUAUGCAGUCUUGAGGUUUUUACUUUGCUUCUAGAAAUCUUGAACUCCUUACUCUGCGAAGACGAAGACGAAGCUUCUUCUUGUUCAUCAUUGCUGCUUUGCUCUGCUUAUAUCGGUAGCCAUACUUGGUUCCUCUUUCGA
rnacentral:lncRNA from 1 species